UACGAAGGUGGCGAAUGUUGCUCGGAUUCACUGGGCGUAAAGCGUCGGUAGGAGGUUGUUUAAGUCAGGUGUGAAAGCCCCGUGCUCAACAUGGGAAUUGCAUUUGAAACUAGACGACUUGAAGGUAUGAGAGGAUGGCGGAAUAACUGGUGUAGAGGUAAAAUUCAUAGAUAUCAGUUGGAACACCCAUGGCGAAGGCAGCUAUCUGGCAUAUUCUUGACUCUGAGCGACGACAGCGUGGGGAGCAAACAGG
rnacentral:rRNA from 1 species